rnacentral:rRNA from 1 species
AUUGAACGCUGGCGGCAGGCCUAACACAUGCAAGUCGAGCGGGGUUUUCGGACCUAGCGGCGGACGGGUGAGUAAUGCGUAGGAAGCUGCCCGGUAGAGGGGGAUACCAGUUGGAAACGACUGUUAAUACCGCAUAAUGUCUACGGACCAAAGUGUGGGACCUUCGGGCCACAUGCUAUCGGAUGCGCCUACGUGGGAUUAGCUAGUUGGUGAGGUAAUGGCUCACCAAGGCGACGAUCUCUAGCUGGUUUGAGAGGAUGAUCAGCCACACUGGAACUGAGACACGGGCCAGACUCCUACGGGAGGCAGAAGUGGGGAAUAUUGGACCAUGGGCGCAAGCCUGACCCAGCCAUGCCGCGUGUGUGAAGAAGGCCUUCGGGUUGUAAAGCGCUUUCAGCGAGGAGGAAGGGGUGUGUGUUAAUAGUACACACCUUUGACGUUACUCGCAGAGGAAGCACCGGCUAACUCUGUGCCAGCCGCCGCCGUAAUAC